CCUUCGAAAGCUCAGUUGGUAGAGCGGUGGACCUGUAAAAGUUGUGAUGGUUAUCCAUAGGUCUCUGGUACGAAUCCGGCUCGAAGGA
rfam:Ciona savignyi cont_27780, whole genome shotgun sequence.